GAUGAACGCUGGCGGCGUGCCUAAUACAUGCAAGUCGAGCGAACGGACGAGAAGCUUGCUUCUCUGAUGUUAGCGGCGGACGGGUGAGUAACACGUGGAUAACCUACCUAUAAGACUGGGAUAACUUCGGGAAACCGGAGCUAAUACCGGAUAAUAUUUUGAACCGCAUGGUUCAAAAGUGAAAGACGGUCUUGCUGUCACUUAUAGAUGGAUCCGCGCUGCAUUAGUUAGUUGGUAAGGUAACGGCUUACCAAGGCAACGAUGCAUAGCCGACCUGAGAGGGUGAUCGGCCACACUGGAACUGAGACACGGUCCAGACUCCUACGGGAGGCAGCAGUAGGGAAUCUUCCGCAAUGGGCGAAAGCCUGACGGAGCAACGCCGCGUGAGUGAUGAAGGUCUUCGGAUCGUAAAACUCUGCUAUUAGGGAAGAACAUAUGUGUAAGUAACUGUGCACAUCUUGACGGUACCUAAUCAGAAAGCCACGGCUAACUACGUG
rnacentral:rRNA from 1 species